ACCAUAAAUCAAUUUUUAUACUUUUUGAACAAAUCUGCUUUUGCUAGCAGUCACAUUUAAUCCACACCAAUACAUGAUUUAUUACUUUAAUAAUUUUAGGAAUAAUGCUAGUUACUUUUCAAUUGGUCCAUGCUAUUUUAACCUCAGUUUGUGAUUCUUCGCAAGUAUAUAUAUACUACAAAUCAAGUGUUCGAAACUCAGUUCAAGUGCUCUAGCCGAGAACAGUCUUUACAAUGCUCUCUCAAGUUUUGAAUGCUUUGGCUUUUGCCGCUCUUUUAGGAUUGGCUUUGGGUAAGAAAACAUUUAUUUUUAUUUAUUAAAAAAUUUAAAAAAAUAAAAUAUUCUUGAGAAAGCGACAUUACAUCACAUGGUCUAGAAAAAAAGAAAUUAAUGCAUAUUUUUCCGAAUGAUAUUUUAUUUAACAAUUUUAAAUAGUCCAAAUAUUCCGAUUUUAUAGUAUUUAUAUCAUAAAGGAUAUUAUUUAAAAUAAUUAUUGGCUCUAGUUUAUUUUUAUAAGUAAAAAUUCGCUACUAUUUCAAGCAUAAUUUAUAAUUUUUAAGAUAAAUAAUUUCAUCAUUUUAGACAUCUCAUUUCAGAUAAUAUUUUAAAAAACCAAAACAAAUUAACCAGUUCAAUGUAAAAUUAGUGCGACUAAUCAAUUAAUUGGCUUAUUAAGCACAAAAGCACAAAGAAAUAAAUCAAAGGAACUUCAGAUUUUAAUAAUUAAAUAAUCAAAAGUUUUUGUUUUCGUGAAUUCUAAAGAAUAUAAAUAAAACCUAAAAUAAUUUUAAAGUCAUAUGUUGAAUAUAUAUAGUUAUAUGUAAUACAUUUAUAGGAAAAUAUCUUUACGUAACAUAAUUUGUCCGAAUGCGAUUUAAAUUAAAGCUAUUAAUCACAAUAGAAACAACUUCAUUCGCAUACACAGACAUGUAUUAUUUUAUAUUCUAAUUAUGUUAAUGUUGUUUAAUAAGAAUUAAUAUCUAACCGCAUAAAUUAUUUUAUUACAGCUGAACGUAAGACAUCUUACAUUGUUAUAUUUUAUGAUUUUACUUUUAAUCAAUAUUAACUUUUAUCACGUUUAGUACAUUUAUCAUUAACAUGUGAAUUUCAGCCAACAAAAUCUAGCCAUUUAAAACGUCAAUAAUAACCAUAUAAAAUUGCUUUAUAUGUAUAAGAGAAGAUUAAUUAGUUUUAGAAUGAUCUGAAGCUAUUCUGGUUAAUUUGAGGUUAAAAAUAUAAUAAUUAGAAAAUAUUUUUUUUUAAUAUUCAUAAUUGAAAAAUUCCGUAUAAAAUAUAUAUAUAUAUAUAUAUAUAUAUAUAUAUAUAUAUAUAUAUAUAUAGGCCAUUUAAUCUAUACAUAAAUGCUUGUACGAUAUUGAGUGUAUUACAAAAAUAUGAAUAUUUAAUUUAUGAUGGAAAUAAUUUUUAUUACAGCUGAACGUAAGAAUUUUUUUUUAUAAAUUUAUAUACAUAUUCAAUAAAAGUGUUUUAUUCUUUUCAAUAAAUAUGUGUUUCAUUACAUAAGACUCUCAAAGCAAGAAUUUUUAAGACAUGUAUGUUUUUGCAUUUGAAAAAAUAUAAAAAUAAAAAUAUAAAAAUCAAAUAUAAAAAUAAAAAUAUAAAAAUCAAAUAUAAAAAUAAAAAUAAUUGCGAAAUUGUUAUUUUUAAAAAAGAUCUAUUUGUUCUCCUUCCCUGUCACAAUUCAUAUCUUUUCUUUUUUAGAAAUAAAUUAGAAUACUCAUAAUUUUCUAAUUUUAAGAGAUUUAAUUUUAAAAUAUGAUUAAUUCAAUGAAAUAGAUUAUAUAUAUAAUUCUACAUAGAUAAUAGGUUGAAUUUAAUUAAAAGAUUCUUGUAUGUAAUUCUCUAUAAAAGAUACUUUAAAGUAUAAUUUUUUUCAAAGCAGAUUCCAGUUGUACUUUAUAUUAAAAGCAGAAAAAUAUUAAUUCAAGAAUUCUUACAUCCUUUAACACUUUACUCUCCUUGAAAUGUUAAAUAAUUACGAAUAUAAAUAAAAUACCAUUUUUCUUAUUUUUCAGCCGGUCAUAAUGGCAAUUUAUUUGAUGAUGCCGCCAGUGUUUUGGACAACUUUUUCGGAACCGGAUAAGUUUAAUGGCCAUCCUUAAGAAAAGAUUUAUUGGCAAUGGCAAUUCUGAACACGAUUGAUUGAAUCAUAUAUUGCAAUAAAAUGUGAUUAUUUAUUUUUAAGCAACCGACUGUAAUCAGCUAAAGUUAUUUCCUGUAAUAUUGCCAUUGUGUUUAUCAAUGCAGUUUAUUAGAUUCUGACUCAGUGAAAAAAUUUUAGAAAAUAAAUGGAAUACAAAAGAUA